rnacentral:misc_RNA from 1 species
GAAAAAAUUUGGCGAGUUUUCCACUGAUCAUGUUCCCUGGUUAACUCGGCGAGUCCUAAUAAAAUGGUGGGAUAAAUGUGACUUCUUUGAGUCAUCUUCUGUUUACUCCUCCAAAGGACUUAUCCACUUGGCUAAAAAGCCAUCUGUAUCUAGCUCAUCUGUCUCAUCAAACUUAUCAAAAUUAUUUAAAGAUCUUCUCAAGUCAGUACCAAAAGACGAGCUUCGCCGACAGCUUUUUGAUGCAUUAUCAGAAGACGACAAAGAAGCCGGCUCAAAAGCAAAAGAUACCGCAGAAUGCUCCAAAGCACGCCGAAAGGAUGACAGCGAC